GGUCCGUUGGUCAAGGGGUUAAGACACCGCCUUUUCACGGCGGUAACACGGGUUCGAAUCCCGUACGGACNG
rnacentral:tRNA from 1 species